rnacentral:rRNA from 1 species
UUCCGGUUGAUCCUGCCGGAGGCUAUUGCUAUCGGGGUCCGAUUCAGCCAUGCUAGUUGUACGGGUUUAGACCCGUAGCAAAUAGCUCCGUAACACGUGGUCAAACUACCCUCUGGACCGGGAUAUCCUCGGGAAACUGAGGUCAAUCCCAGAUACUGCUUUCAUGUUGGAACACAGAAAGUCGGAAACGGUCCGCCGCCGGAGGACGUGACUGCGGCCGAUUAGGUAGACGGUGGGGUAACGGCCCACCGUGCCGAUAAUCGGUACGGGUUGUGAGAGCAAGAACCCGGAGACGGUAUCUGAGACAAGAUACCGGGCCCUACGGGGCGCAGCAGGCGCGAAACCUUUACACUGCACGCCAGUGCGAUAAGGGGACCCCGAGUGCGAGGGCAUACAGUCCUCGCUUUUCGUGACCGUAAGAAGGUCUCAGAAUAAGAGCUGGGCAAGACCGGUGCCAGCCGCCGCGGUAAUACCGGCAGCUCGAGUGAUAGCCACUAUUAUUGGGCCUAAAGCGUCCGUAGCCGGCCGAACAGGUCCGUCGGGAAAUCCACCCGCUCAACGGGUGGACGUCCGGCGGAAACCAGUCGGCUUGGGGCCGGGAGACCAGAGAGGUACGUCCGGGGUAGGAGUGAAAUCCUGUAAUCCUGGACGGACCGCCGGUAGCGAAAGCGUCUCUGGAGAACGGACCCGACGGUGAGGGACGAAAGCUUGGGUCUCGAACCGGAUUAGAUACCCGGGUAGUCCAAGCUGUAAACGAUGCUCGCUAGGUGUGGCGUUGGCUACGAGCCAGCGCUGUGCCGUAGGGAAGCCGAGAAGCGAGCCGCCUGGGAAGUACGUCCGCAAGGAUGAAACUUAAAGGAAUUGGCGGGGGAGCACUACAACCGGAGGAGCCUGCGGUUUAAUUGGAUUCAACGCCGG